rnacentral:rRNA from 1 species
AUUGAACGCUGGCGGCAGGCCUAACACAUGCAAGUCGAGCGGAUGAAGGGAGCUUGCUCCUGGAUUCAGCGGCGGACGGGUGAGUAAUGCCUAGGAAUCUGCCUGGUAGUGGGGGAUAACGUCCGGAAACGGGCGCUAAUACCGCAUACGUCCUGAGGGAGAAAGUGGGGGAUCUUCGGACCUCACGCUAUCAGAUGAGCCUAGGUCGGAUUAGCUAGUUGGUGGGGUAAAGGCCUACCAAGGCGACGAUCCGUAACUGGUCUGAGAGGAUGAUCAGUCACACUGGAACUGGGACACGGUCCAGACUCCUACGGGAGGCAGCAGUGGGGAAUAUUGGACAAUAGGCGAAAGCCUGAUCCAGCCAUGCCGCGUGUGUGAAGAAGGUCUUCGGAUUGUAAAGCACUUUAAGUUGGGAGGAAGGGCAGUAAGUUAAUACCUUGCUGUUUUGACGUUACCAACAGAAUAAGCACCGGCUAACUUCGUG